GCGCCUGUAGCUCAGUUGGACAGAGCAGCGGCCUUCUAAGCCGCGAGCCGCAGGUUCGAAUCCUGCCAGGCGCGCCA
rnacentral:tRNA from 1 species